AAACAUCAUCAUAUAUCUGUCCUCUUGGUUCGUUUCUACCAUCAGAAAGUUUGUCAUCAAGGACGACAUUUCACGGAAGGUUCGGUACGUUCAGCAGGGUUUUGGAUAGUUGGGUCCAAACGUCUCAUUUCUUCUGAAAUUGCAAAGUGUACCGUGUGUCGUAAGUUGAGAGGUCACUUAGGGUGGCAACACAUGGCGGACUUACCUGUAGACAGACUCAAACCAGCACCUCCAUUUUCGUAUGUUGGGGUCGACGCAUUCGGGCCCUGGCCGAUUGUGUACCGUCGUACUAGGGGAGGUGCCGCGAAUCAGAAACGUUGGGCCCUGUUAUUUUCUUGCUUAGUAACUAGGGCAAUUCAUAUUGAAGUGAUUGAGGAGUUAUCUAGUUCGUCCUUUAUCAACGCUCUCAGGAGGUUUGUGGCUAUCCGUGGUCCAGUAGUGCAGUUCAGGUCCGACCGUGGCACUAACUUCGUCGGAGCUAUAGAAGACCUUUCCAUUGAUGCUAAGUUCAUAGAGAAGCCUCCUGUGGUUCAGUUUCUCUCAAGGUCUAAUGCCAAGUGGAUAUUCAACCCUCCCCAUGCCUCACACAUGGGAGGAGCAUGGGAGCGUCUCAUCGGUGUGUCGCGCCGGAUACUCGAUUCGAUGCUUCUUCAAAACAAACACAAAGAUCUAACACACGAAAUCCUUGUGACUUUUAUGGCUGAGGUGUGCGCCAUAGUAAACAAUAGGCCUUUACUUCCUGUGUCAAGUGAUCCUGAAUCACCUUGCGUCUUAACACCCUCAUCUCUGCUCACCAUGAAAACCGCGGCCGACAUAGGACCUUUUCCUCUUUUUGGUCAGAAGGAUAUGUUGAAAUCGCACUGGAAGCAUGCACAAGUUCUUGCAGAGGAAUUCUGGUGUAGGUGGAGAACGGAGUAUUUGCAAACUCUCCAGACUCGUAAAAAGUGGACUAAGGACUGUCGCGAUGUUAAGUCUGGUGAUGUGGUUCUCAUGAAGGAUCAGAACUGUAGUCGUAACGAGUGGCCGAUGGGCAUUGUUGAGAGAACUUUUCCUAGUGAAGACGGGAGAGUCAGGAAAGUUGAACUGACUGUGGUAAAAGACGAUAAGCGUGUUUCGUAUGUUAGGCCUGUGUCACAACUCGUCACAAUCUUAGAAGUGAACUAAACUUAAUUGUGCUAGUUGUCGUAUUUUGACUUUUCUUAAAUUCCUUGAGUGUUCUAAAUAUUGUAAGUGAUUUCAGGUAGAAAUCAGAGGGGGAGUGUAGUGACUCUGUUACGAGUUCCGGAAUUCCGGCUCCGCGCCGGUUCGCAGCAGGCUUUUAUUUUAGUUACCUUGUUAUGAUUUCCGUGGUAGUCCAUGCACAAAUUUGCUCAGGCAAUUUUAGGGAUUCCAGCCCCCCACAGGAUUUUCACCCUCUCCGGGGGUUUUGAAUGGAAUAAAGAGUGCUGAAAUAUCGACAGUCUCUUGACUUAACAAACUUUUUUAACUCGGAUACUCAGUAAACUGUGUGUGACACAUAUGUACAUAGCGUACGGGUUCGGAAGUUUGGGGCUUUCAUUCCUUUCAUUACCUUCCUGGCUAAACAGA
rnacentral:misc_RNA from 1 species